rnacentral:lncRNA from 1 species
AUUAGUAUGUCGAUUACGUGGUUUAAUGGCUUCUUCACGUUUUGAGAUCAUCAUCGCCGUCCAGAUUCGCCAUUACAAGUGAGAUGGAUAACACCGUUUUUUGGUUUGUAUUGGGGAUAACAAAGCUACCUAGGAUUUAAGCUAUUUGCUGCCGUUGAUGGAACUAAUCGGAUAUGAGCCAAUCACCACCGCAACCAUUCAGGUCACCACUCUCUCUUCUUUGUUUGUACGCAUGUAUCUGUAUGUAUCUAUCACAACUCAAUUCUCAAUUGUGUGUUUAAUUUCUUUCUUUCACUUUUGUUGCAAUUCAAGUUUCAAUUAUAGUCAGAUCUGAUAUUGAUUCAUUCAAGUACUACUAUCAUGCAUGUUUGUUUGAUUUUAUCUAUUAAACUAUCGAGAUUCUCAUCGUGUGGUUUAAUUGUAAUGUUUUGGUGAUGGUGAUUGGUGAGCAUGAAUCUAGGUGAUAUGCAAUCGUAAGAAAUUCUAUUUUAACUUUUUGAUAAAACUGAAAUGGAAUUGCAUUAUAAUGUUUUAACUUCUGUUAUCGGCGUAGAUCUAUGAUUGGAUAAGUACAAUUUCUACGAGAUAUCUGUUUCACUCGGCGUGUCAGCUGUAAAACUUGAAUUUUCUGUUUCUGAAAAUACGAGAUUGAUUUGGGAGAUAGUUCAUAAUUAUGUGGAUUUGGAUGUUGUGAAUCAUGGUGUAACGGAGGUUACGUUUUGAAUCCAUAAUUAUCAUGAUUUUUAGAUAUUUAGGCAAUAAUUUAUUCUUAAAUUAGAUUGGCUUUAAUUACGAGAUCUCUUUUAUUCUCUAUUCAUUAUUUGUCUCCAUUAGCUUUAAUUAGAACAGUUACAUUUUGAAUUGUAAUUGUGAUUGGAUAAAUAUUCUUUAUGAAUAUUUAAAUACCUUUAAGUACCAUUUAUGGGAGUCAUUAAUCAUGACUUUAUUGUGCCUUUAAUGGCUUUAUUGUGCCUUUAAUGGGGCUUUAUUGUGCCUUUAAUGGCUUUUUGUUCCAAUUUGGAUGCCAUUUUUAUGGCUUAUUUGACUUGUUGAUGAUUAUAUAUAAUAUAUUUAAUCAUGUUUUAAACUUUAUUUUAUUCAUCACUUAAAUUAUUAAUUUUUAAUGUGUCUAACCAAAGGAUUUUCCUUUGGUUAGAAAUUAGUUUAUAUUUCUAUAUUUUUUAAUUUAUUUUUGUUAUAUAUACUCUUUUGUUUUGUUUUUAUUAGAUUUUCUAUCAUUUUUACAUUACAUUAAAUAUAUAUAUAUAUAUAUAUAUAUAUAUAUAUAUAUAUAUGUGUGUGUGUGUGUGUGUGUGUGUGCGUGUGUGUGAUUUACUUGUAUACAGAUUUAUGUUUUUUUGGUUUGUUUUGUUUUUUUCAGGAUAAUUUGGAAGCGAGCUGGUUCGUGGCUUAUGGGUGUUCUUUUCUCAUUCAUUUAAGCUUUAUUGUCUAAGCGUCUGGAGUUGUGCUUGCAUGACUUUCGGUUAGAUGAUAAACUUUCUUGAAAGAAAGAUAUCCCGGAUGCGGUUUAUUGUAUUUCGAUACAAUUCAUCUACGUAUAUGUAGACC